rnacentral:rRNA from 1 species
AGAGCGAACGCUGGCGGCAGGCCUAACACAUGCAAGUCGAGCGCCCCGCAAGGGGAGCGGCAGACGGGAGAGUAACACGUGGGAACGUACCCUUUGGUUCGGAACAACACAGGGAAACUUGUGCUAAUACCGGAUAAGCCCUUACGGGGAAAGAUUUAUCGCCAAAGGAUCGGCCCGCGUCUGAUUAGCUUGUUGGUGAGGUAACGGCUCACCAAGGCUACGAUCAGUAGCUGGUCUGAGAGGAUGAUCAGCCUCACUGGGACUGAGACACGGCCCAGACUCCUACGGGAGGCAGCAGUGGGGAAUAUUGGACAAUGGGCGCAAGCCUGAUCCAGCCAUGCCGCGUGGAUGAUGAAGGCCCGUAGGGUUGUAAAGUCCUUUCGACGGGGAAGAGUAAUGACGGUACCCGUAGAAGAACGCCCCGGCUAACUUCGCGCCAGCAGCCGC